rnacentral:rRNA from 1 species
CUACGGGGUGCUGCAGUGGGGAAUAUUGCACAAUGGAGGAAACUCUGAUGCAGCAACGCCGCGUGGAGGAUGACACUUUUCGGAGCGUAAACCCCUUUUAUAUAGGAAGAAGAUGACGGUACUAUAUGAAUAAGCGCCGGUUAACUCCGUGCCAGCAGCCGCGGUAAUACGGAGGGCGCAAGCGUUACUCGGAAUCACUGGGCGUAAAGAGCGUGUAGGCGGAUUAAAAAGUCAGAAGUGAAAUCCUAUAGCUUAACUAUAGAACUGCUUCUGAAACUCUUAAUCUAGAAUAUGGGAGAGGUAGAUGGAAUUUCUGGUGUAGGGGUAAAAUCCGUAGAGAUCAGAAGGAAUACCGAUUGCGAAGGCGAUCUACUAGAACAUUAUUGACGCUGAGACGCGAAAGCGUGGGGAGCAAACAGGAUUAGAUACCCUAGUAGUC